ACUGCUCACCACCUACACAACACAGGUGCUGCUUCUCUCCCUUGAGCCUCUUCGUGGUACUCUAUUUGUGCCACCUAAUGGCAGUUAAGACAUCACCAUCCUUUGCUGUAUUAGCUGUGUGACCUAAGCUGAGGCAGCUUCCCCAAGGCUCAGGUUCUGUAUCUUAAAAACAAGGAGAUAACAAUAUCUAAUAAUAGCAACUUAAAAAUAGCCAUCUUUUAUUGAGAUCUUACCGUGUACCAGAGAAAUGCUGUGAAUUUACAAACAUUGUCUCAUUUGACUUUCAAAAUCCUAUGAGAUAGGCACUGUUAUCCCCAUUUCACAGAUGAGACAAGAGAAGGUGAGAGAGGCAAAGUGAUCUGCCCAUGGUGCACAGACAGCAAGCAACAGAGCUGAGAUUCUCACUCUGGAAGCCCCACAUGUGGCCCUUCAUGAAUCACUACCCAUUACCCCUUUUUUUGCAGACCCCUUCUUUGGUUCCUACCCAUCUCAUAAGGUUGUUCUGAGAUGAGACAUGAAAAGUCCUUAGCACACCGACUGGUUCUGGGUCUCACUGUCCCCCAUGGUAUCCUCCUUUAAGGAUGAGUUAUUCACAUACAUAUAUGCUUUAAGCAUACUAAUCAAUACAUAAUGAAUUAAUAAAUGAAGAAAGAGAAAACAAGACUAAGGACAUCAGUCAAACUACCAAAAUAAGAUACCAAAGUGUCUUACAAGUGGUUACUCAAUAUCCUAUAUAUAGAUCCUCACAGGACAGUACAAGAUGUAAAUCUCUUUUUCCCCCAAAUGUCUGUGAGAUGCAGCCUUCAUUCUAGGGUAUAAAGGGGAAGAAGUAGGGGCGGUCACAGCAGAAGAGUGAGUAGGAAUGACACAGCACAUCCCAGCAGCAGCAGGCCCAGUUCUGCAGCCCUCACUAAGACACAAUCCCCACUGAAGGGAAAUCCCAUCCAAAUCCUCUUUCCCAGAGAGGAGAAGAAGGUCAAACAGACUAAUCCUCAAAAAGACCUGAAAUUCUGGCUCCCCUGGACCACGCCAAAAGACAUUCCGCUGGGAGCAAGAGACAGGCACCAAAGAGUUGGAGGCAAUUUCUCCACUCUCUCGAGUCUGGGAUACAACUGGAUCUCUUGCUACUUGUUUCGGCCAACAGGAUAUGGCAGAAGUGAGGCUAUGCAAAUUCCAAAGCCUAGGCCUCAAGAGGACAGAAGCCUCCAGCUCUGUCCUUUUGGAAAGCUGCCCUGAAGUGGUCACAGUAUGUAGAAGCCCAGGAUGAAAGACCACAUGGGAAGGGGCCCUGUGAUCCCAGCCCUGAAUAUAGCUGCACAAGUAAGCCCAGGAGAGGACAACAGCACCACCCAGUCAAUCCACGAGUCACAAGAAAUAAACACUAUUGUCACCUUUGGUC